rnacentral:rRNA from 1 species
GUUUCUUUUAUCUUGAUUUAAGAUUGAUUCUGUCUUAUUGUAAUUAGUUGAUUUAUAAUAUUAAAUAUAAGUUUUUG